GAUGAAGAACGCAGCGAAAUGCGAUAAGUAGUAUGAAUUGCAGAAUUCAGUGAAUCAUCGAGUCUUUGAACGCACAUUGCGCCCCCUGGUAUUCCGGGGGGCAUGCCUGUCCGAGCGUCAUUGCUGCCCUCAAGCACGGCUUGUGUGUUGGGCCUCCGUCCUCCUCCCGGGGGACGGGCCCGAAAGGCAGCGGCGGCACCGCGUCCGGUCCUCGAGCGUAUGGGGCUUCGUCACCCGCUCUUGUAGGCCCGGCCGGCGCUUGCCGACACAUCAAUCUUUUUUCCAGGUUGACCUCGGAUCAGGUAGGGAUACCCGCUGAACUUAAGCAUAUCAAUAAGCGGAGGA
rnacentral:misc_RNA from 1 species